AAGAACCUUACCAAAUCUUGACAUCCUUUGACCACUCUAGAGAUAGAGUUUUCCCCUUCGGGGGACAAAGUGACAGGUGGUGCAUGGUUGUCGUCAGCUCGUGUCGUGAGAUGUUGGGUUAAGUCCCGCAACGAGCGCAACCCUUAAACUUAGUUGCCAGCAUUUAGUUGGGCACUCUAGGUUGACUGCCGGUGACAAACCGGAGGAAGGUGGGGAUGACGUCAAAUCAUCAUGCCCCUUAUGAUUUGGGCUACACACGUGCUACAAUGGACAAUACAAAGGGCAGCUAAACCGCGAGGUCAUGCAAAUCCCAUAAAGUUGUUCUCAGUUCGGAUUGUAGUCUGCAACUCGACUACAUGAAGCUGGAAUCGCUAGUAAUCGUAGAUCAGCAUGCUACGGUGAAUACGUUCCCGGGUCUUGUACACACCGCCCGUCACACCACGAGAGUUUGUAACACCCGAAGCCGGUGGA
rnacentral:rRNA from 1 species